CCUACGGGGGGCAGCAGUGGGGAAUAUUGGACAAUGGGCGAAAGCCUGAUCCAGCCAUGCCGCGUGUGUGAAGAAGGCCUUCGGGUUGUAAAGCACUUUCAGUGGGGAAGAAAGCCUUGGGGCUAAUACCCUCGAGGAAGGACAUCACCCACAGAAGAAGCACCGGCUAACUCCGUGCCAGCAGCCGCGGUAAUACGGGAGGGUGCGAGCGUUAAUCGGAAUUACUGGGCGUAAAGCGCGCGUAGGCGGUCUGAUAAGCCGGUUGUGAAAGCCCCGGGCUCAACCUGGGAACGGCAUCCGGAACUGUCAGGCUAGAGUGCAGGAGAGGAAGGUAGAAUUCCCGGUGUAGCGGUGAAAUGCGUAGAGAUCGGGAGGAAUACCAGUGGCGAAGGCGGCCUUCUGGACUGACACUGACGCUGAGGUGCGAAAGCGUGGGUAGCAAACAGGAUUAGAUACCCCGGUAGUC
rnacentral:rRNA from 1 species